CUUGCAGAGCUAAGCGCUGCCCCACAGAAGGUAAUGUGCCGUAGUGGUACAGACAGCCUCAUCAUGGACAUAAGAUUGUUUUUUCGAAGAAAAGAGCCAGGUUCAGCUGAAUACAAUCUAUUUGUGUAUGAUUGUCAGUCCAAAGAGGGAGAGAUGAAAAAGGAGAGGAGAGAGUGCAAAGUCAGGAAGAACCAGGAAGAGAACAAGGAGAGACUCUGGGAGAUGAGAGCGUGCAGACCAGGGAAAGAAAUGCUGUGCAUCACAUUUCAAAUAAAAGUCAAAAAAUAAGUCCGAGGUCCAUUUUUGUUUUGUUUUUUUGGUGCUUGG